GUGCGUGAGAUAUCUAACCCAUAUCUUUCACUUCUUACAAUUAUCAAAUUGCAUGGUUUAAAAGAAGUAUAAAAAGAAAAGAAAUCUGCCUCCCGAGAGGGUGUCAAAGAUAUGAAGAAUUUAUUCUCCUCUCUCUCUCUCUCNNNNNNNNNNNNNNNNNNNNCUCUCUCUCUCUCUCAGACGAACACCAAAUGCACUGACAUCUUUAUGAGACGAUUUAAACACCCGGGUUCCCUCCCUCUUUUAACGAAACCCAAACCGAUUCGAGCCUCACGACUUCUUUAGAGCAAGCCUAGGUGGAUCACACGCACGCACAGAUAGAUGACGGGAAGGAUACUGUAUAAUCUCCAAAUACGUGGUAAAUUCUAGGUGAUGAAAGCUAACGUAUCCAACAAAAAUCGAUGCAG
rnacentral:lncRNA from 1 species